CAUUCUUUAUGUUAAUAAUUAUAACUAUUUGAAUAAAAUGAAUUUGAUAAGCUUAAUUUGUAUGGUAACCACCAUAUUUUGCAUAGUGGUGUCCGUGUAUGCGGGUAAAGAUGAUCCUCCACCUUCAAAUCCACCUGCAGAAGCUCCUCCUGCCCCUGGCUCUCAUCCUACUGGGGUAAUACCACCUCAUUACCCUCAAGUACCAGCACCACAACUACCACCAGAUCCACAAAACGACGACGACGACUAACAACAAAGGUGAAGUAUCCAAGAUAUGUGUCACAUUCUAAAAAUACAUAUGCUUACUAAUAUGUGUAUAUUGUGAAAUGUUCAUCUUUGUUUAUCAUAAAUUUAUUGUGUUUCAACCUUCCGAUUUCUCUAAUAACAAUAUAUUACAAAUAACAUAUUUCGUUACGUAUCAUAUAAAUUAUAUUAUGUAUGUUAUAUAACACUGUCUACCAAUAAAAAUAA